ACAGUUGCGUGGAAACUCUGACUUUCCUUCCACAUAAAAUUCCCCACAUGCCAUUACCUUCAGGGAAAUCUACUGAGGGCUUAGUCCAACUCCAUUACACUCAAUAAGGCUUCUGCUAGCUUAAGAUCAUUUUCUCCCUAUGCCUCCAUUGAUCACUUCACUCUGAAGACUACAAAUGACUUCUAUUGGAAGAGGAAACACAAAGAUGAAGCUAUGGCACUCAGAUUCCUGCAUUCGGACACUUUGUAACACAAAUGCAUUCCUGACUGCAGAUUUGUUUUUCACCCCCACUCAUUGUACUUGGCUUGCAUCAUGCCUUCUUCCUAAGAAGUCCUCUGGAAGGCCUCAGCUCCCCAGCCCCACUCUAUGAUAAGUCGCCGAUUUUCCAUCCUGCCUUUCUCGUGCUGAUUACAUCAUCCCCUUCCAGAGAAGUGAGUCCAGUGGACCAGAUCCAGAAUUCAUCGGAAGUGACAGGCGCCUGUCAAUGCCAACGCCCGUGGUCCUGGGCAGGGAGAGGAAAACCAGGUCAUGUCGCCUUGGCGAGGAGGUGCUCGGGAUAAGGAUAACCCAUCUGCGAACACCAUGGGUUCACCCCUUUGAGGCUGGAAGCCCUGAGGGCACAGUGGGUGCCAGCACUGACAUCACCUUUGUCAUGCACCCUUCGCCCAUGAGGAUGCACCAGUGGUUUCAUAGGAACCCACUGCAUGCCCUGCUUUUCCCUGGGUGUUCCAAUACCCACUGCUAUAGCCUGGCAACGUUUGCAGCCAGCAACCCAUUUUUCCAACACACAGCUCUUGCUGCCUCUGAACUUAGCCCUGCAAAAAUAAAAAAUGGGUUUGGCAAUCUCUGAAUUAGACCUGGACGCAUAAACAGAGGUAAUCCCUUUGUUCUCACUGACAACAGCUUAAGAAAUCCUCACGCAGAGCUCCACAGUGACACAAAACUUAUUUGCUACCACCGCUGAGGUUUAGAAGCAGAAUCCAUUUCAGGUGGACAUAAAAAUCCAGCCCAAUAUUUACUUGCCACUGGAUACAAACGUUUCCCAGUGAAGUCUGCACUAGUGUCAGAGAGGUGGAUAAAUCCUUCAACUUUGUUAAAUGUGGAAUAAAGGAGAGAAUAACUUGAAUUAAAUUCCUGUGCCCACUUG
ensembl:lncRNA